rnacentral:rRNA from 1 species
GAUGAACGCUGGCGGCGUGCCUAAUACAUGCAAGUCGAGCGAACAGAUGAGGAGCUUGCUCCUCUGACGUUAGCGGCGGACGGGUGAGUAACACGUGGAUAACCUACCUAUAAGACUGGGAUAACUUCGGGAAACCGGAGCUAAUACCGGAUAAUAUAUUGAACCGCAUGGUUCAAUAGUGAAAGACGGUGUUGCUGUCACUUAUAGAUGGAUCCGCGCCGCAUUAGCUAGUUGGUAAGGUAACGGCUUACCAAGGCAACGAUGCGUAGCCGACCUGAGAGGGUGAUAGGCCACACUGGAACUGAGACACGGUCCAGACUCCUACGGGAGGCAGCAGUAGGGAAUCUUCCGCAAUGGGCGAAAGCCUGACGGAGCAACGCCGCGUGAGUGAUGAAGGUCUUCGGAUCGUAAAACUCUGUUAUUAGGGAAGUACAAAUGUGUAAGUAACUAUGCACGUCUUGACGGUACCUAAUCAGAAAGCCACGGCUAACUACGUG